UACAGAGGUCUCAAGCGUUGUUCGGAUUCAUUGGGCGUAAAGGGUGCGUAGGCGGCGCGGUAAGUCGGGUGUGAAAUCUUGGAGCUUAACUCCGAAACUGCAUUCGAUACUGCCGUGCUUGAGGACUGGAGAGGAGACUGGAAUUUACGGUGUAGCGGUGAAAUGCGUAGAUAUGCGGAGGAACACCGAUGGCGAAGGCAAUCCCCUGGACCUGUACUGACGCUCAUGCACGAAAGCGUGGGGAGCAAACAGG
rnacentral:rRNA from 1 species